GUAGGUGGCAAGCGUUGUCCGGAAUUAUUGGGCGUAAAGCGCGCGCAGGCGGUCCUUUAAGUCUGAUGUGAAAGCCCACGGCUCAACCGUGGAGGGUCAUUGGAAACUGGGGGACUUGAGUACAGAAGAGGAAAGCGGAAUUCCAAGUGUAGCGGUGAAAUGCGUAGAGAUUUGGAGGAACACCAGUGGCGAAGGCGGCUUUCUGGUCUGUAACUGACGCUGAGGCGCGAAAGCGUGGGGAGCAAACAGGGAUUAGAUACCCUGGUAGUCCACGCCGUAAACGAUGAGUGCUAAGUGUUAGGGGGUUUCCGCCCCCUUAGUGCUGCAGCUAGCGCAUUAAGCACUCCGCCUGGGAGUACGGCCGCAAGGCUG
rnacentral:rRNA from 1 species